UAAGAUGCACAAAAAGAGGGGCCGGCCU
rnacentral:sRNA from 1 species